CAGCAGCCGCGGUAAUACGAAGGGGGCUAGCGUUGCUCGGAAUUACUGGGCGUAAAGGGAGCGUAGGCGGGUCGUUUAGUCAGAGGUGAAAUCCCGGGGCUCAACCUCGGAACUGCCUUUGAUACUGGCGACCUUGAGUAUGGGAGAGGUGAGUGGAACUCCGAGUGUAGAGGUGAAAUUCGUAGAUAUUCGGAAGAACACCAGUGGCGAAGGCGACUCACUGGCCCAUUACUGACGCUGAGGCUCGAAAGCGUGGGGAGCAAACAGGAUUAGAUACCCGCGUAGUCCCUGUCUCUUAUAC
rnacentral:rRNA from 1 species